rnacentral:rRNA from 1 species
AUGUUUUUGCUGCAAGGACAGUCCACGGGAAGUUGUAACAGCAUCAUUAUUUAUACUCACGAAAAUUGUUACUGUGACGCAGGUCAUUUUGUUUCACUGAACAUGGCUUCUCGAGACUUCACACUCUUUGUCCAAACUCUGGUCUUCCUCACACUCUUUGUUGGCUUGAAUGUGUAUUUUGUGGAUUUCUUUGUAGUGCUUAGGGUUUGUUGGUGGUCCACUGGCAGGUGGUUUUGCAACGCUGUCGGUUUCAAGGCAUGGAAAAUGUCGCGUGGGAAAUGUGUGCGAUCUUCAGGAAAAUGA